GCUCCAGACUCCUACGGGAGGCAGCAGUGAGGAAUAUUGGUCAAUGGCCGGGAGGCUGAACCAGCCAAGUCGCGUGAGGGAAGACGGCCCUACGGGUUGUAAACCUCUUUUGUCAGGGAGCAAGGUGCAGGUCGGGACCUGCUGUGAGAGUACCUGAAGAAAAAGCAUCGGCUAACUCCGUGCCAGCAGCCGCGGUAAUACGGAGGAUGCGAGCGUUAUCCGUAUUUAUUGGGUUUAAAGGGUGCGUAGGCGGCAUUAUAAGUUAGUGGUAAAAUAUUGGGGCUUCACCUCACUACGCCAUUAAUACUGUAGAGCUAGAGAACAGACGAGGUAGGCGGAAUAAGUUAAGUAGCGGUGAAAUGCAUAGAUAUAACUUAGAACACCGAUAGCGAAGGCAGCUUACCAGACUGAGUCUGACGCUGAUGCACGAGAGCAUGGGUAGCGAACAGGAUUAGAUACCCUAGUAC
rnacentral:rRNA from 1 species